rnacentral:lncRNA from 1 species
GGGAGGUAAGGCUGGCGGAAGUGUUGGAGGUGGUGGAGGUGAACUCGGCGGCGGAGGUGGAGAUGGUGGAGGCGGCGGACUCAGCGGUGGAGGAGGAGGUGGACUCGACGGUGGAGGUGGUGGAGGCAGACUUGUCGGUGGUGGAGGCGGACUAGGUGGUGGUGGAGGAGGUGGACUCGACGGUGGAGGAGGUGGUGGAGGUGGACUUGUUGGUGGUGGAGGCGGACUCAGUGGUGGAGGAGGAGGUGAAGACGAACAAGGUGGAGGAGGAGGUGGUGGAGGAGGUUGAGAUGAACAAGGUGGUGGAGGAGGUGGAGAUGAACAAGGUGGUGGAGGAGGUGACUUGGUGUGAUGGUGAUGAGGCGGUGGUGGUGACUUGUAGUGAUGAUGAGG